GCAUACGGCUCAGUAACGCGUAGUCAACCUAACCUAUGGACGGGAAUAACCUCGGGAAACUGAGAAUAAUGCCCGAUAGAACAUUAUGCCUGGAAUGGUUUAUGUUCCAAAUGAUUUAUCGCCGUAGGAUGGGACUGCGGCCUAUCAGUUUGUUGGUGAGGUAAUGGCCCACCAAGACUAUUACAGGUACGGGCUCUGAGAGGAGUAGCCCGGAGAUGGGUACUGAGACACGGACCCAGGCCCUAUGGGGCGCAGCAGGCGAGAAAACUUUGCAAUGUGCGAAAGCACGACAAGGUUAAUCCGAGUGGUUUCUGCUAAAGAAACCUUUUGUCAGUCCUAGAAACACUGAUGAAUAAGGGGUGGGCAAGUUCUGGUGUCAGCCGCCGCGGUAAAACCAGCACCUCAAGUGGUCAGGAUGAUUAUUGGGCCUAAAGCAUCCGUAGCCGGCUCUGUAAGUUUUCGGUUAAAUCUGUACGCUCAACGUACAGGCUGCCGGGAAUACUGCAGAGCUAGGGAGUGGGAGAGGUAGACGGUACUCGGUAGGAAGGGGUAAAAUCCUUUGAUCUAUUGAUGACCACCUGUGGCGAAGGCGGUCUACCAGAACACGUCCGACGGUGAGGGAUGAAAGCUGGGGGAGCAAACCGGACUAGAUACCCGGGUAGUCCCAGCUGUAAACUAUGCAAACUCAGUGAUGCAUUGGCUUGUGGCCAAUGCAGUGCUGCAGGGAAGCCGUUAAGUUUGCCGCCUGGGAAGUACGUACGCAAGUAUGAAACUUAAAGGAAUUGGCGGGGGAGCACCACAAGGGGUGAAGCCUGCGGUUCAAUUGGAGUCAACGCCGGA
rnacentral:rRNA from 1 species